UACAGAGGUCCCGAGCGUUGUUCGGAUUCACUGGGCGUAAAGGGUGCGUAGGUGGCUGGGAAAGUUUGAUGUGAAAGCUCAGGGCUUAACCCUGAAAUGGCAUUGAAUACUACUUAGCUGGAGGUUUGGAGGGGGGACUGGAAUUCUUGGUGUAGCAGUGAAAUGCGUAGAUAUCAAGAGGAACACCAGUGGCGAAGGCGAGUCCCUGGACAACACUGACGCUCAUGCACGAAAGCGUGGGGAGCAAACAGG
rnacentral:rRNA from 1 species